GCCAAAUCUCAGGAUGAUUUGAAUGUGGACAGUGAACUCUCUGCCAGCAGUGACAGUCUUGCAGAGAAAUCUUCAAAGGGCGGAGUGGCAUCAAAGACCU